CCUCUCGAGAGAACCCUUUGCUAGGGUUCUGCCCGCCACACCUCCCUGUCUCCGUUUGACUGAUAAUCUCAGGUGCGCCUCCGGCCGACCAACUCAUUCAGGCGCUGCCUCCGGCCGACCAACUCAUUUAGGCGCUGCCUCCGGCCAACCCACACCCUCAGGCGCUCUCUGGCCGACCCACGCUCUCAGGCGUUCUUGGUCAACAGGAAAGGUCGAAGAAGAAAAGAAAAACGACCUGUCGUUCCCUUUUUUUCUUGUUGACAGCGUCUGUAGUUGACGGCGUCGAUCGGUUGGUGGAGAGGAAACCUCGCGUUGGUGCUCACGGGAAGAGGACGAUCUCUCCCUCCCCGCGUGGGCAACAGUUUGCCCCUUUGAUCUUGCUCUGUCGCGGCGACAGAGGGAACCAGAGAGUCGGUUUAAAGGAUAUUUGUCACAGGCUUUAAAAAAAACGCAGAGGACAACACGAAGGCACCACAAAGAUCAAGAUCGAAUUUCACUUAUUGGAAUUCGACAAGUAUGGCUCUGAUACCAAUCUGUGAAGUAAGUCCACCACCAGCAGCGUGUCAAAUGCAAGACCUGUGAGCAAGAGAGGAAGAAAGAAACAAGAGAGAAAUUGAUUUUGGGGGUUUGCUUCUGAGAGAAGCGUAGUUGAUUUCUCAACCUUAUAGUUAGAUGAAUAAAGGCUGAGCUUUAUAUACCGCCUCUCAGGAUUUCCCCAAAUCCCAGCUACGGUUAUGGCAUGAAGACUUAUGUUAUAGAGGGAAAGGGAUCGGGCUCAAGGCCACUACCCAACAGCCCCCAUCUUCUACCUUGAUGUUCCCUGCAAAUGCGAAGCAGAUCUGAGACCGACCGCUUCCAGCUAUCAGGAUGUUGGCAGCAUUUAGGACCAAGUCUGAGCCUCCCUGAAAGUGGAACGCCAUUGUAGGAACCUCAACUGUUGUGUAGCUGGACAGGUCAUAACAGGUAUCAAGAAGAGAGAACGGCUGGGCAUCCGGAUACUUGCGUUGCGCCAUGAAAGCACAGAAAGUCGACCCUGUAAGCCGUCGGCGGCAGCCGUGUAAUCACAGUUCCGGAGUCUAAGACAGUGUCUUAAGGCUUCCAAAGACGGAAGAAGAAACAGGCAGGGGACGUUCACCCACACUCAUUCUGAUGACGGGGACGGCAAUGGCGUGAACCGAGCGGGGCUGAAGAUUUUGUUAUAAUAUAUAUGCAUCUUGUCAUAAACGAAGGAUCUGAAAAUCUUAGAAGCCAGGAUUUCAACAUCUGAGAUCGCCCUAAAUUUUAGAUUCGAAGAAACAAAAUUUCCCCUUAAGAAUUACAUGGACUA